AUCAACUUUCGAUGGUAGGAUAGAGGCCUACCAUGGUAGUAACGGGUAACGGGGUGUUAGGGCACGACACCGGAGAGGGAGCCUGAGAAACGGCUACCACAUCCAAGGAUGGCAGCAGGCGCGCAAAUUACCCAAUCCCAACACGGGGAGGUAGUGACAAUAAAUAACAAUACGGGGUCCUUUCGGGUCUCGUAAUUGGAAUGAGUACAAUUUAAAUCACUUAACGAGUAUCAAUUGGAGGGCAAGUCUGGUGCCAGCAGCCGCGGUAAUUCCAGCUCCAAUAGCGUAUAUUAAAGUUGUUGCAGUUAAAAAGCUCGUAGUUGAACUUCGGAAACGGUAGGUUGGUCGUGCCUCUGGUACGUACUGGCCUUACCGGUUCCUCCUUUCUGACGAACCGUGAUGCCAUUAAUUUGGUGUUGUGGGGAAUCAGGACUGUUACUUUGAAAAAAUUAGAGUGUUUAAAGCAGGCUAAAGCUUGAAUAGAUUAGCAUGGAAUAAUGAAAUAGGACGUUUGAUCUUAUUUUGUUGGUUUCUAAGAUCGACGUAAUGAUUAAUAGGGAUAGUUGGGGGCAUUAGUAUUCAAUUGUCAGAAGUGAAAUUCUUGGAUUUACUGAAGACUAACUACUGCGAAAGCAUUUGCCAAGGAUGUUUUCAUUAAUCAAGAACGAAAGUUAGGGGAUCGAAGACGAUCAGAUACCGUCGUAGUCUUAACCAUAAACUAUGCCGACUAGGGAUCGGAUGAUGUUAAUUU
rnacentral:rRNA from 1 species